ensembl:snRNA U2 U2 spliceosomal RNA
AUCGCUUCUCGGCCUUUUGGCUAAGAUCAAGUGUAGUAUCUGUUCUUAUCAGUUUAAUAUCUGAUACGUCCCCUACCCGGGGACUACAUAUUAAAUUGAUUUUUGGAUCACGGAGCUGGAGCCGGGGCUUGCUCUGUCCACUCCACGCAUCGGCCUGGUAUUGCAGUGUUUCCAGGAACGGUGUGCUUCCC